AGAGUUUGAUCAUGGCUCAGGAUGAACGCUGGCGGCGUGCUUAACACAUGCAAGUCAAGGGGGCUCAGCAAUGGGCAACCGGCGAACGGGUGCGUAACACGUGAGCAACCUACCGAAUUGUGGGGGAUAGCCGGCCCAACGGCCGGGUAAUACCGCAUACGAUCGAGACGAGGCAUUUCGACUCGAUGAAAUCUACGGAGCAAUUCGAGGGGCUCGCGGCCUAUCAGCUAGUUGGUGAGGUAACGGCUCACCAAGGCGACGACGGGUAGCUGGUCUGAGAGGAUGGCCAGCCACAUUGGGACUGAGAUACGGCCCAGACUCCUACGGGAGGCAGCAGUGGGGAAUCUUGCGCAAUGGCCUAACGGCUGACGCAGCGACGCCGCGUGAGGGAUGACGCUCUUCGGAGUGUAAACCUCUUUUGCCCGGGACGAACUGCCAGUUUUCACUGGCUUGACGGUACCGGGUGAAUAAGCACCGGCUAACUCCGCGCCAGCAGCCGCGGUAAUUC
rnacentral:rRNA from 1 species